UUUAAUCGCCGUAACUUCAAAAUAACAUCACUUGAGAUUUUACUGAAUUUAGAAAGAGUGAAUAACUAGACGUACCUUCCUGGUACGCUUCGGCAGCAAAUCAGGCUCGUUUGUUAUCGCCAGGGGUAUAUUGGCUCGACUGCGUGCCAAAAUGGUACGAUUAGGUGAGAACUGGGUGAAAUAUCUAUUAGAUCAUGCAAGAAAGAACACGUGGAUGAUUGUCGCGAGCGCUGGCGCUGGCAAGAAGAGCGAGAGUUUUUCAACAGGCUGUAUUUUAGUGCAAAGCAAAAAGGCAAAAAAGGUUAUGAACUUCAGUGCCUUCAGAGGAUGAAGUCCAACAUCAUAUCACAAUCUGCCGCUUCAAUUAAACAAUGGUCGAAAGUAAAAGUGAGGAUUCUGUUACAACUGCAAAGAGAGCUGAGGAAAAGGAAAGUGGAAAGGGAGCAUGCCUGUAUGUGUCCUCAGCAAAAAGUUCAGAUUCAACAACAAUCAUCAUCAAGAAGCUGGAGACCAUUAGGAUUUACUGUUAACAUUAGGAAUCAAGCAUUGCAUCAGCUUCACAGUUAUGUGCCUCCAUGAGGAUGGCUCUUAUUGUGUUGGAAGACUGUGAAGAAAACAAUUUCAUUGAGACUAUCAAGAAUAAAAGUUUGAAUUUGAUGUAAUCUUCGCUACACCUCAGACCAAAAAGCUCUGCUUUUUCUCCUUUUUCUCUCAACAAUCACCGAAGGAUGAUGAUACAACAAGCACACACCCAUUGUAUUUAUUUCUUCUGGACCCCUGUCAGGUAAAGCUGUUCCUUUCUCCCUGGUUACUUAUAUCACCAUGGUAACUGGCCAAAGUAGCCCUCUCUUAUUCCUUAUUAAGGGUUAAAACCAGUUAUAACACGUGUUGGAAACAUUGUGCCCUUACCAAAAACAAUAUGCACGGAAAAUGUUUACCAGAUAAGGGUAAAUAUUACCUGAAUGGACCAAUCAGAGCACUUUGUUUUGCACCGGGUAAAGUUUACAUGACUGGAGUAAACUUUACCUCUAGCAAUUCGCAAAACAGAGCACUUGUGGGCUGUAAUGGCGCAGGAUAAUUACAUUCUUUCAAUUGUAGCUUCCUAGAAUCAAAUUUUGCAAUUUAAAGGUGAAAUAAGGUGCAAAACCGAUCAGCUUUUGAAUAGAAUGGCACGCUCUUGGAUUUGUUAAGAUUCAAAGAGUGACACGGCUUUGUCCGCAAAGUCAUGUUUGUUUUAGCGUUGUAUCAAACAUUGUUGACAUGAAGGUGUUUUAUUGAAAGGUUCUAGGUGAUAAGUUUGCACACUAGCAAACCAGGCAUGUAAUCUAAUUCCACAGCAAUCCUAGCAUAUGUUAGCGACCUCGUUGGCGGCAUAACUUGCAAGUUUGUGAUCGUUCAUUGAGCUGCCAUGACAAUGUGCACCAUUACUUCCCUUUCCAAAAUUCAUUUUUCUUUACAAAGAGACAGAGCUGACCUCCUUGAUCAGUAGUAAAAGAAGGGGCUCUGCAGAAAUAUACUUGAUGCAAGAGCAGUACAUUGAUGAGCUUGUGUUCAAAUGCUUGACGCUGGAGUGUGAUCUGGGAAGUGCAGUAAAUUGCCUGAUAAUGCAACCAGGACAAUAAACAGUUACUCCUAAAUCAAAGAGGCCUGGCAUUGUUAGAAAAAGGAAAUUUGAUGCAGAUUUUCUAUCAUCAAGGAACAAUGAUUGUGAAGGUGCUGCAACAGCAAGCCCUAAAGAUUGGCAAAUUCCAGCCUCAAAUUGGGGUCUACACGCACCUUCAAUUUUGUCAUAUUUACAUGGCUAUGACAGCUAACAAUGUGCAUAUAAUCACAUUAAUCCACUCUUGAUCCCUUUAUCACCUAUGCAUCAGCAAGACUAAUCAUGAGGAGAAGAGUGGUGUGCCUAUCCCAGCAAAGCAAAUGUCAUGGGGUGAUGUGAACCACACACAGCUGCUGCCACUCCAUCCAUAUCACUAUUAUCAUCAUGUAUCAAAUGGAAAAAGUAAUGUUCAUGUAAAGAAAGACAGAGGUGGCACAGAGAGCACCAUUAUGUCUAGUGGGUAUAUGCAGAGUGAUAAGUGGCAACCUUCAGUGGUUACAAAAGAA